UCCCCUACGGGUGGCUGCAGUGGGGAAUUUUGGACAAUGGGCGCAAGCCUGAUCCAGCAAUGCCGCGUGCAGGAUGAAGGCCUUCGGGUUGUAAACUGCUUUUGUACGGAACGAAAAGCUCUGGGUUAAUACCUCGGGGUCAUGACGGUACCGUAAGAAUAAGCACCGGCUAACUACGUGCCAGCAGCCGCGGUCAUACGUAGGGUGCGAGCGUUAAUCGGAAUUACUGGGCGUAAAGCGUGCGCAGGCGGUUUUGUAAGACAGUGGUGAAAUCCCCGGGCUCAACCUGGGAACUGCCAUUGUGACUGCAAGGCUGGAGUGCGGCAGAGGGGGAUGGAAUUCCGCGUGUAGCAGUGAAAUGCGUAGAUAUGCGGAGGAACACCGAUGGCGAAGGCAAUCCCCUGGGCCUGCACUGACGCUCAUGCACGAAAGCGUGGGGAGCAAACAGGAUUAGAUACCCCGGUAGUC
rnacentral:rRNA from 1 species